UGCAGGGGGAGACUUGA
rnacentral:rRNA from 1 species